UCUGUGGCUGUCACCGUGAGCAGGCGCUGGCCUGAGCGUAGAGCCGGGCGGGCCUUCUCCAGUCUCAGGCAGCUGGUCAGGGACACUGUUCUCUCACUGGAGCUUUGAAUGCAGGGAUACUGCAUUGCCAUGUGAUCCAUGGGGACAUCUGACUGGUUCAGGAAGCCCACCUACCCCAGGGCAGUGCUGCUGUGAUGUGCCUUUCCCUGCAGUCCUUCCACUUGGGAGCUAAGAGGGACGGAGAGAAUAUAUACGGUUCUGAUGCCAAAAUCACAGAAAAGAAUUUCAUAGCUCAGGCUGCCUUGUUGUUGGACUCAGAGGACCCUUGUGCUUCAUUUUUAAAUCCGCAGAGAACACAACACGGAUAACUCCUCAUACCUUCCAGGCAUCCAUUCGUUGGUUUUUGCUUUUCGUUCAAGCCUCUGUCCACCUGAGGAAUUUCCCCUGGAAAUCUGGAUGGAAACUUCUUCCCUAGGUUGCCUUCUCCCUCCACUCAUUGCUCUCUCCAGAUGCAGCCUGAGCUGGAAGAGACUUCCANUCCACCUGAGGAAUUUCCCCUGGAAAUCUGGAUGGAAACUUCUUCCCUAGGUUGCCUUCUCCCUCCACUCAUUGUGCUCUCUCCAGAUGCAGCCUGAGCUGGAAGAGACUUCCAGAUGCCUCACUUUUGGGUGUUUCACUGAGCCUCGUUGGUUCCUUUAGGCCCUCAGUCAGAUUUGGCCGGAAGUUGGUGUGCAAGUUAAGAGAAGCUUGUACGACUUCAUGGUUGCAAGGAGAAUAACUGGGAAAGUGACCAGCUCCGUGUUUCGACACCAGAAGCAGCAUUUGCCAUGUGAUCUGACCGUGUGGAGAUGUUUCUGGACUCUGGAGCCUGCUGAACUGCAUGUUUGGUGUUUAUUGUGACUUUNGAAGCAGCAUUUGCCAUGUGAUCUGACCAUGUGGAGAUGUCUCUGGACUCUGGAGCCUGCUGAACUGCAUGUUUGGUGUUUAUCGUGACUUCUGGAAUCCCACUCUUGAGUGUUCAAACUAUCUGGGAGCAACGGACCCUCAUCAUCUGUGCCUGGAAGAGUUCAUUAUCAUUGAGCAACAGAGCCCGAGUGUCCUCCUCUGUGGGUCAAUCCUUAUUCCACUGCCUUAUCUGACAAGGGGUCAUGUGCUGCUCACCUGUCUGCCCUGUGAUUAAAAUGGCCAAUAGGCCAGUCUCCCUGGAGGGCCUGGAGCUCUGAGCUCUCCUAGCCACGUACUUCUGUAGUCCAAGGGACAUUCUUAAA
rnacentral:lncRNA from 1 species